rnacentral:rRNA from 1 species
GAUGAACGCUGGCGGCGUGCCUAAUACAUGCAAGUCGAGCGAACGGACGAGAAGCUUGCUUCUCUGAUGUUAGCGGCGGACGGGUGAGUAACACGUGGAUAACCUACCUAUAAGACUGGGAUAACUUCGGGAAACCGGAGCUAAUACCGGAUGAUAUUUUGAACCGCAUGGUUCAAAAGUGAAAGACGGUCUUGCUGUCACUUAUAGAUGGAUCCGCGCUGCAUUAGCUAGUUGGUAAGGUAACGGCUUACCAAGGCAACGAUGCAUAGCCGACCUGAGAGGGGGAUCGGCCACACGAGAACUGAGACACGGUCCAGACUCCUACGGGAGGCAGCAGUAGGGAAUCUUACGCAAUGGGCGAAAGCCUGACGGAGCAACGCCGCGUGAGUGAUGAAGGUCUUCGGAUCGUAAAACUCUGUUAUUAGGGAAGAACAUAUGUGUAAGUAACUGUGCACAUCUUGACGGUACCUAAUCAGAAAGCCACGGCUAACUACGUG